rnacentral:rRNA from 1 species
GAUGAACGCUGGCGGCGUGCCUAAUACAUGCAGGUCGAGCGAACAGACGAGGAGCUUGCUCCUCUGACGUUAGCGGCGGACGGGUGAGUAACACGUGGAUAACCUACCUAUAAGACUGGGAUAACUUCGGGAAACCGGAGCUAAUACCGGAUAAUAUAUUGAACCGCAUGGUUCAAUAGUGAAAGACGGUUUUGCUGUCACUUAUAGAUGGAUCCGCGCCGCAUUAGCUAGUUGGUAAGGUAACGGCUUACCAAGGCAACGAUGCGUAGCCGACCUGAGAGGGUGAUCGGCCACACUGGAACUGAGACACGGUCUAGACUCCUACGGGAGGCAGCAGUAGGGAAUCUUCCGCAAUGGGCGAAAGCCUGACGGAGCAACGCCGCGUGAGUGAUGAAGGUCUUCGGAUCGUAAAACUCUGUUAUUAGGGAAGAACAAAUGUGUAAGUAACUAUGCACGUCUUGACGGUACCUAAUCAGAAAGCCACGGCUAACUACGUG